UGGGGAAUAUUGGACAAUGGGGGGAACCCUGAUCCAGCCAUGCCGCGUGUGUGAAGAAGGCCUUAUGGUUGUAAAGCACUUUAAGCGAGGAGGAGGCUCUCUUGGUUAAUACCUAAGAAGAGUGGACGUUACUCGCAGAAUAAGCACCGGCUAACUCUGUGCCAGCAGCCGCGGUAAUACAGAGGGUGCGAGCGUUAAUCGGAUUUACUGGGCGUAAAGCGUGCGUAGGCGGCUUUUUAAGUCGGAUGUGAAAUCCCCGAGCUUAACUUGGGAAUUGCAUUCGAUACUGGGAAGCUAGAGUAUGGGAGAGGAUGGUAGAAUUCCAGGUGUAGCGGUGAAAUGCGUAGAGAUCUGGAGGAAUACCGAUGGCGAAGGCAGCCAUCUGGCCUAAUACUGACGCUGAGGUACGAAAGCAUGGGGAGCAAACAGG
rnacentral:rRNA from 1 species